rnacentral:rRNA from 1 species
UACGUAGGGGGCAAGCGUUGUCCGGAUUUAUUGGGCGUAAAGAGCGUGUAGGCGGCCAGGUAGGUCUGGUGUGAAAACUCGAGGCUCAACCUCGAGAGGUCAUCGGAAACCAUCUGGCUAGAGUCCGGAAGAGGAGAGUGGAAUUCCCGGUGUAGCGGUGAAAUGCGCAGAUAUCAGGAAGAACACCCGUGGCUAAGGCGGUUCUCUAGUACGGUACUGACGCUGAGACGCGAAAGCGUGGGGAGCGAACAGG